rnacentral:tRNA from 1 species
GCGUUUGUAGCUCAAUUGGAUAGAGCAUCAGACUUCGGAUCUGAGGGUUAGGGGUUCAAGUCCUCUCGGGCGCGCCA